UGGAUCCAGACUUUGAUCAUGGCUCAGGACGAACGCUGGCGGCGUGCUUAACACAUGCAAGUCGUACGAGACGAUUGAAAGCUUGCUUUUGAAAGUCGAGUGGCAAACGGGUGAGUAACGCGUAGACAACCUGCCGUAAAGAUGGGGACAACAGUUCGAAAGGACUGCUAAUACCGAAUGUUGUAGAGUUUUCGCAUGGGAAUCCUACUAAAGGUGGCCUCUACUUGUAAGCUAUCGCUUUACGAUGGGUCUGCGUCUGAUUAGCUAGUUGGUGGGGUAACGGCCUACCAAGGCGACGAUCAGUAGCCGGUCUGAGAGGAUGAACGGCCACAUUGGAACUGAGACACGGUCCAGACUCCUACGGGAGGCAGCAGUGGGGAAUCUUCCGCAAUGGGCGCAAGCCUGACGGAGCAACGCCGCGUGAGUGAAGAAGGGUUUCGACUCGUAAAGCUCUGUUGUCGGGGACGAAUGUCAGGACUCAAAAUAUGGGUUCUGAAUGACGGUACCUGACGAGGAAGCCACGGCUAACUACGUGCCAGCAGCCGCGGUAAUACGUAGGUGGCGGGCGUUGUCCGGAAUUAUUGGGCGUAAAGGGAGCGCAGGCGGGAAGGUAAGUCUAUCUUAAAAGUGCGGGGCUCAACCCCGUGAGGGGAUGGAAACUAUCUUUCUUGAGUGCAGGAGAGGAAAGCGGAAUUCCUAGUGUAGCGGUGAAAUGCGUAGAUAUUAGGAGGAACACCAGUGGCGAAGGCGGCUUUCUGGACUGUAACUGACGCUGAGGCUCGAAAGCGUGGGGAGCGAACAGGAUUAGAUACCCUGGUAGUCCACGCCGUAAACGAUGAAUGCUAGGUGUAGGAGGUAUCGACCCCUUCUGUGCCGGAGUUAACGCAAUAGCAUUCCGCCUGGGGAGUACGGCCGCAAGGCUGCAACUCAAAUGAAUUGACGGA
rnacentral:rRNA from 1 species